AGUUGUAAAAACAUCAAGGAGUUCAAUUUCGAGUCUCAUAGCGAAGGGUCUGAAUACUUAUGUAAAUAAGGUAUGUUUUUUUAUUUUUUAUAAAUAAGCUAAAAUUUAGAUUAGAUUGAUACAAAAAUAAAAUAUCUAAUCCAUUGUAGAAUAAGGCUGUAACGUAACAAAAUGUGGAACAAGUCAAGAGGUCUGAAUACUUUGUGAAUGCCCUGUAUGUCAUUAGGUAUGUCAUUAGGUAUGUCAUUCCAUGGACUUUACCAUGGGAUAAGUUCAGACAUCAUUCUGUUGAACUUCUUCGUUUUUUAAUGGAUUGGUUGCUAUGAAUACCUGACCGACCAAGGACAUUCUAAAACACCUCCCACGCCUAUACUUAUAUCCAAAGCCAACAAGGAGGAUUUUAGAAAGAUCUAUUCAAUCAAUAAUUAAAGAAGUUAUUCAGUAAAAUAGAGUUGCUGGAAUGGCACAGCUAUUUCAACUAAAACAAGAGCAUAACAACACUACUUUACAGGUCACAAGAAAAUAGGUAAGAAAAUCACUUAGUGGCAGUAAUUUGCUGAUGUGAGGGACUUAAACUUCCCUCCCUCCCUUAAACCUAUACUCCCUGUUGGUUCUACGUUAACAAAUGACCUUCAGCUCUCAGACAUGCUGUAAACAUAGAAAUGCUUAUUUCACCGGUGUAAGUCGUAAGCUGUGUUAAUGGUUAUUCCAGUGUACACAGGGAGGAGGCAUUAGGAGGGACAGAUAUCCAUCAAUGUUGAGGUGUACAGAGACUUGUCCCCAGAUGGUGUGGAGUUGUUACCUGAGAACUCAGUAAAGAAGAAGCUCUUGAACACAUAAGGUCAGCCAGUGAAUACUACUACAUAAGGUCAGCCAGUGAAUACUACUACAUAAGGUCAGCCAGUGAAUACUACUACAUAAGGUCAGCCAGUGAAUACUAGUACAUAAGGUCAGCCAGUGAAUACUACUACAUAAGGUCAGCCAGUGAAUACUAACACAAGUGUGUGCACUGCUCUUGAUCAAUCAUAAUAAGAUAGAUUGGAACGUUUCAGUCUAUUAGAAAAUAAUAAAGUUCAGCAUUACAGUGGAUGCUAGUCCCCUAGGGGACUAUACUAUACAAAUACAACAGCAGUGGAUGCUAGUCCCCUAGGGGACUAUACAAAUACAACAGCAGUGGAUGCUAGUCCCCUAGGGGACUAUACAAAUACAACAGCAGUGGAUAUAGUUGAGACUAUACAAGUUGAGACUAUAAUAGUGUGUGUGUGUGUUGGGUACAGACCUGCUAUUCUCUGAGUGGUUGU
rnacentral:lncRNA from 13 species